rnacentral:rRNA from 1 species
CAAUAGCGUAUAUUAAAGUUGUUGCGGUUAAAAAGCUCGUAGUUGGAUUUCUUCCAGGGGCAGUCGGUCCACACUACGUGUGCGUAUCUGAUUUGACUUUGGAAUCCUCUUGGGGAACAUCUCUGCGCUUAACUGCGUGGAAUGGUAUUCAAGACUUUUACUUUGAGGAAAUUAGAGUGUUCACGGCAGGCAAUCGCCCUGAAUACAUUAGCAUGGAAUAAUAAUAUAGGAUUUCGGUUCUAUUUUGUUGGUUUCUAGAGCUGAGAUGAUGAUUAAUAGGGACACUUGGGGGCAUUCGUAUUAUCACGUCAGAGGUGGAAUUCUUGGAUUGUGUUACGACGAACUACUGCGAAAGCAUUUGCCAAGGAUGUUUUCAUUGA